CACUGCCGCCUCACAUUCUUCUCUGGAUAGUUCCCCACCACUGCCUCACAAUCUCCUCCGUUCCCCAUUCUCUCCACCACAACCAGCGCUCCCUGGUCAGGCCGCCCCCUCCCCUUCGUCACCACCGCCGGCGCUCCCUGGUCAGGCUGCCCUCUCCUUCGUCACCAGCGUCGCCGCUCCCUAGCAGGCCGCCCCUCCCCUUCGAAUCAGAUCGCAGAAGUGGCCGGGGAGAUCCUCGAGCUCAGCAUGCUCGCGCCGGUGGUAGGCGCUGUUGGAUGCGGACGCGGAGGCUCGGGACUUGCACGCCCUACUCUACCCUGUUCCUUCCAAUCCGGCCCUGAAGUGCUCGAGGAGGCGCUCGAGGUCGGCAUGCUCACCGGCGACGCUGGGUCCCUCCAUUCUCCUGGUUCCCUCACCGUCGCCAACAUGAGCCUCUCCACCCUCUCCCGCGCGAUUGUCCAGGUCUAGCCCCUUCUGGUUGUGAGUGGAUCCAAGAGUUCACAUGAUGCGGUAUCUUUUUGAAAGAUGAUACAUUAUCUUCAUAAAAUAAAGGAAGUUGGAGAAGUUAUUACUGAAGAGGAAUUCAGUGGUAUGUGCUUCUCAAGAGCUAAACUGGAAUAAGAAGUGCAUGACUCUCAUGUCUACACUAACUAAUCAGACUUCCCGAAGGAGAAGAAGGAGGUGCGGAAAGAGGAUGGGAGCAACAAAUCUGAAUCAAAGAGGGUGAGAAUUACUUAUCGAUGACUCGGGCAUCAACUCUUGAUUUUCGGCGGAAGACACAGGGUCAGAACAACUGGUCUGGGCCGUUGCGCCCAGUAAAUGCCAUCAAAAAUAAAUUCCCUACCUACAAGAAUGGUAUGAAUGGGAUAGUCAUCAAAUUUGCUGAUGAGCCAGAAACGCCAUGACUUAAGGAGUCUGUUGCCAAAGAGACAGCAGAUCUGCUU